UACGUAGGGGGCAAGCGUUUGUCCGGAAUCAUUGGGCGUAAAGCGCGUGUAGGCGGCUCGAUUAGUCCGCUCUGAAAGUCCAGGGCUCAACCCUGGGAUGCGGGUGGAUACUGCCGGGGCUCGAGGUCCGGAAGAGGCGGAGUGGAAUUCCAGGUGUAGCGGUGAAAUGCGUAGAUAUCUGGAGGAACACCGGUGGCGAAGGCGGCAUCCUGGGACCGACACUGACGCUGAGGAGCGAAAAGCCGGGGGAGCAAACGGGAUUAGAAA
rnacentral:rRNA from 1 species